AUGAGUGCUACCUCUCCAUGGGAUGGGCGUCCUGGGACUCCUCCCUCCACCACCACACCAGUGUCAAUCCUUAACCUCCCUUCCCACAAAAACAGGUUAACAGCUCCUGCAGACAGAGGGAGAAGAUUCUUUUGCCAUUUCACUCCCAAGGAGCUCCACAGCAUAGGUUUUCCCCUUGAAAAGAAGGCUAGGCACCAGUUAAGAGUUUUGUCAUCAUUGGCAGCAAAAGAGAUUUUUAUCUAACUGAAGCUUCCUCACUCUCACUGGACCACAUUUGACCAGGAGGAGCAGGAGAAGAGAAGGAGCUGCUGGAUGGUGAUGUGCUGGGAAAGAGGCUGAGUGAGUGAUGACAGAAGAAAAACGCCCACCUGGUAUGACCUGACAAGUGCCCAAGGUGAGUUAUUAUAAGACAGGUGGGAACACACAGCUCAGACAGCCCUCAUCCCUCUA
rnacentral:lncRNA from 1 species